rnacentral:rRNA from 1 species
ACGGUAGCAGGUAAGUACUUGUACUUAUGCUGACGAGUGGCGGACGGGUGAGUAAUGCUUGGGAAUCUGUCUUAUGGAGGGGGAUAACGACGGGAAACUGUCGCUAAUACCGCGUAGAAUCGGGAGAUGAAAGUGUGGGACCUUCGGGCCACAUGCCAUAGGAUGAGCCCAAGUGUGAUUAGGUAGUUGGUGGGGUAAAGGCCUACCAAGCCGACGAUCGCUAGCUGGUCUGAGAGGAUGGCCAGCCACACCGGGACUGAGACACGGCCCGGACUCCUACGGGAGGCAGCAGUGGGGAAUAUUGCGCAAUGGGGGCAACCCUGACGCAGCCAUGCCGCGCGAAUGAAGAAGGCCUUCGGGUUGUAAAGUUCUUUCGGUGAUGAGGAAGGUUGGUGUGUUAAUAGCAUGCCAAAUUGACGUUAAAUACAGAAGAAGCAC